rnacentral:rRNA from 1 species
UUUAAUUUAUCUGAUGUGGAUUCUGAUCCUGGCACACGUAAGCAAAUUGAAGAGUAUGCAACUCCAGAAAUUAGAGAUGAAAUGAGAAGGGCAUAUUUGUCGAAAGGUGUGGGCCGUUUGUAUGGUCAUGAUUUUCCUCGAAAUCUUUUUGGGAAAGAUUGGCGGAACUUCAAAGAAGCAUGGUAUAAAGAUUAUGACUGGCUCGAGUAUAGUAAAGAGACAAAAUCUGCCUAUUGUUUCCAUUGUUUUCUUUUCAAAUCUCCAAGCAUUGGUGACAAGUUUGGCCAUGAUGUCUUCACUAAAAAAAGGUUCAAAAAUUGGAAGAAGGCAGUGGAAAUAUUCAAUGCUCAUGUAGGUGCACCAAAUAGCGCUCACAACAAUGCUAGAAGAUGGUGUGAAGAUUUCAAAAACCAAAAGCAAAGUGUGUCGUAUGCAAUGACUUCCCAUACUGACAAAUCACAUAUUGAAUAUGAAGAGCGUUUGAGGGCUGUUGUAGGUGUGGUAAGGUUUCUUGUCUCUCAAGGCCUAGCUUUUCGUGGGCACGAUGAGACUACCACUUCCAUGAACAAGGGUAAUUUCCUUGAGAUGUUGGAUUGGUAUGCGGAAAGAUGCAAAGAUGUAGCCGAUGUGGUCCAUAAAAAUGCUCCUUGCAAUCAUCAAUUGACUUGUCAUAAAAUCCAAAAACAAAUAGUACAAGCAUGUGCCGAAGUGACUACAAAAGUGAUAAUGAAUGAGCUUGGUGAUAGUAAUUUAUCUCUACUUGUUGAUGAGUCUCGUGAUGUAUCGGUUAGAGAGCAAAUGGCCAUGAUUGUGAGGUUCACGAACUAAAAAGGGGAGUCUUUGGAAAGAUUGCUUGGUGUUAAACAUGUUCUUGAUACUACAUCCGCUUCUUUGAAAAGAUCUUUGGAUGCAUUGUUUGUUAAACAUAAUUUAUCCAUGUCUGGAUUGAGAGGACAAGGAUAUGAUGGGGCCUCAAAUUUGCGUGGAGAACUUAAUGGUUUGAAGAAAUUGGUGCUAGAUGUCAAUCCAUAUGCUUUUUAUGUGCAUUGUUUUGCACACCAACUUCAAUUGGUAGUUGUUGCUGUUGUCAAGGGAGUCCUAGCUGUUAGUGAUUUCUUUGGACAUACAAAUAAGAUUGUCAACAUGGUCAGUGCCUCGUGUAAAAGGAAAGAUGCAUUGUUGCAGAAGCAUCAUGACAACCUGGUUUUACAGUUAGAGCAUGGGGUGAUUUUGUCAGGAAAAGGCCAGCAUCAAGAGACAAGUUUAGCAAGACCCGGUGAUACACGAUGGGGGCACACCAAGACUCUAAUCCGGAUAUAUCAAAUGUGGGAUUCCGUGGUUGAAGUGCUACAUGGUAUCUCUCUUGAUGGAGCAGAUGCUGAUGAUAGAGGUUUGGCUUCUGGCUUUAUGAUAAACAUGGAAAGUUUUGAAUUUGUUCUUAUCUUGCAUUUGAUGCUUCGAGUGCUCGGUUUAACCAAUGAUUUGUCACAAGCAUUGCAACAAAAAGAUCAUAAUAUAGUCUGUGCUAUGAAUAUGAUUGUGUCGGUGAAAAGUCUAUUACAAAAGUUGAGAGAUGAUGGAUGGGAGCCUCUCUUGAUAUCUACUACUACCUUUUGUGCUGCAAGAAAUAUAAUAGUGCCCAAUAUGGAUGAUAACAUUUCAGCAAGGGGUUACCCAAGAAGAUCACACAAAAUGGUUACUUGUCUCCAUCAUUACAAGGUAACUAUAUUCAAUGAGGUGCUGGAUAGAAACAUAGUUGAGAUGAAUAAUCGAUCUAGUGAAACUUCUACACGCUUGUUGAAGUGCAUUGCUUGCCUUGAUCCUAGAGACUCAUUUAGCAACUUUGAUCAUGAUAAGCUAGUUGAGCUUGCAGAUAUUUACUCAAUUGAUUUCUCUUCACAAGAGCGCUAUCUAUUGACUAAUCAACUCAACAUAUAUAUUGAUGUGAUGAAAAGAAGUACUAAAUUCUUGGCUUGCGAUAGUUUGAGUUCUCUUGCUCUCAAGUUGAUUCAGAGUAGACAACAUCUGGUAUUUCCAUUGGUUUAUCAGCUCAUCAGACUUGCAUUGACAUUACCGGUGGGAACUGCAUCAGUUGAGAGGGUUUUCUUAGCCAUGAAUAUUAUAAAGACUGAUCUUUGAAACAAGAUGGGUGAUGAUUGGCUUAAUGAUUUGAUGGUUUGCUUUGUUGAGCGCGAGAUAUUUGCUAAAAUUAGUGAUAAAGAGAUUAUGGUUCAUUUUCAUUCCUUGAAGAACCGUCGAGCUCAUCUACCUCCAGAACCUCGUGUUCAUUAUGCAAUUACGUCUUAA